rnacentral:misc_RNA from 1 species
AACGCCAGUUGUCCAGUGCUCGGGACAUAACAGAUUUAUGCUCAUCCCCAUGUCCAACUGGGAGGAUAACUAGUCGCACUUCAUUUGAUGCCAAAUGUCUGAAUCACAAUAAAGUUGAUGUAGAAUUGAGACUCCCAGCUGAGACUUCACAGAGAGAAGAUUUGGACACUGCAGAGGAGGCAGUGGUGAAGGGAAGACAUCCAUCCCCUAAUAAGAGGUUUAGCUUUAGUCUUAGUCGA